UGCCUUGUCUGUGCAUGUGCCCCAGCUUUAGGCUAAGAGCAGGAGAAUGCUGUGACAGCUUGUAGUCACCAGCCCCAGCCAGGGCAUGGGGGAGCACUUGCAAAAGCCUGUGCUCUCUGGUCUCAGCCAGUGCUGCAGCUGCUGGCUCCACCCAUCCCAGCAAGGUGGUGGGAAGAUGCCACAUCGGAGCCUGCCCGCCUGCCCAUCCCAGCCGGUUAUAUGGAAAGUGCAACGAUGGUGUCUACCCGCCUCUCUGACUGACCUCCCUAGCUCCUCUAGCCAAUCCCCCCAGAUUGGUAAAGAACAGCAAAAACCUCCAGAAACAACUGCUUUGGCUGAACAAGAACACGAAGAUUCCAAGUGGACAGUAGAAUAAAAAAGGGACCACAAAAGAACUACAUACCCAGUCCCAUGUCUCCAGAAAGCCCCCAGAAUGCUUUCGGAGUAUUCAACCUCACUACAAAUAAAGACAUUCAACUUAAAACUGCACAGAAAGAUGGACUCUCAAAAUGAAAAAGAUUCUACAGCUGAUGGCGCUCAGUGUAAUCAGGUUGCUGACAGCGUGAGUAAGCAGGCAGCACCGUUUGGAGUAUUUGGAACAACUUAGCUGGAGGGCAACUUGGACACAAUUGUGAUGAGUCCUUUAACUGUUCAUGUGCUUUGACUCAGUAAUUCCUCUUUGGGAACCCAUAUUAAGGACAUGGAAAAACUUAUGUACAAUGUUUUUAUCACUAAGUUACUUGAAAUUGAAAAAAGAUCUUGGAAACGAUGUGCUACAACCUGAGUGUUCGUGUCUUCCCAAAAUUUGUAUGUUGAAAUCCUAACCCGUAAAAGUGAUAGUAUUAGGUGGGGCCUGAGCUAAUGGGAUUGGUGCCCUUAUAAGAGGCUCCAGACAGAUCCCUAACCACCUUCUACCAGGUGAAGCUACAGCAAGAAGUCUGAAGCCCAGAAGAGGACCCUCCCCUGCCCAGCAGGCAUCCUGAUCUCAGAGUCCAUCCUCCAAGGACUGUGGCAAUAAAACUCUGCUGCUUAUAGGCCGCCCAUUCUGUAGCAUUUUGUUAGAGCAGCGCUAACAGCCUAAGACACAAUGAAUCCUAAUGAUAGAAAGGUAGUUGUAUAGGGGCGCCUGGGUGCCUCAGUCAUUUAAGCAUCCAACUUCAGCUCAGUCAUGACCUCGCAGUUCAUGAGUUCGAGCCCCAUGCCGGGCUCUGUGCUGACAGCAUGGAGCCGAAGACUGCUUGGGAUUCUAUGUCUCCCUCUCUCCCUGCUCCUCCCCCCUCAUGCUCUGUCUCUCGCUCUCUCCCAGUCUCUCUCUCAAAAAUAAAUAAACAUAAAAUUUCAAAAAGAAAGGUAGUUGUAUAAAUGAUGUACUCA